rnacentral:rRNA from 1 species
CCUACGGGAGACAGCAGUGAGGAAUAUUGGUCAAUGGCCGGAAGGCUGAACCAGCCAUGCCGCGUGAAGGUCAGUGCCCUAUGGGCGUUAAACUUCUUUUGUGCGGGAGCAAUAAUGGUCACGUGUGGCCAGACGAGAGUACCGUACGAAUAAGCAUCGGCUAACCCCGUGCCAGAAGCCGCGGUAAUACGGGGGUUGCAAGCGUUAUCCGGAUUAAUUGGGUUUAAGGGGUGCGUAGGCGGUGGGGUAGUCAGCGGUGAAAUGCCCACGCUCAACGGGGGGAAGUGCCAUUGAUACUGCCUUGCUAGAGUGCGGGUGCCGUGGGAGGAAUGUGUGGUGUAGCGGUGAAAUGCAUAGAUAUCACACAGAACACCGAUUGCGAAGGCAUCUCACGAAUCCGCGAUUGACGCUGAUGCACGAAAGCGUGGGUAUCAAACAGGAUUAGAUACCCGAGUAGUC